UGGGGAAUUUUGGACAAUGGGGGCAACCCUGAUCCAGCCAUUCCGCGUGAGUGAAGAAGGCCUUCGGGUUGUAAAGCUCUUUUGUCCGGAACGAAACGGGUAGCGUGAAUAUCGCUGCCUACUGACGGUACCGGAAGAAUAAGCACCGGCUAACUACGUGCCAGCAGCCGCGGUAAUACGUAGGGUGCGAGCGUUAAUCGGAAUUACUGGGCGUAAAGCGUGCGCAGGCGGUUUUGUAAGCCAGAUGUGAAAUCCCCGGGCUAACCUGGGAAUGGCAUUUGGGACUGCAAGGCUUGAGUGCGGCAGAGGAGACUGGAAUUCCUGGUGUAGCAGUGAAAUGCGUAGAUAUCAGGAGGAAUACCGAUGGCGAAGGCAGGUCUCUGGGCUGACACUGACGCUCAUGCACGAAAGCGUGGGGAGCAAACAGGAUUAGAUACCC
rnacentral:rRNA from 1 species